ACAUUCAUGGAGGCAUCUCCAGCUGAGUGCCUCAUCUAAAAAGUGUAAAGGCACACAACGCAAGAUUAAAAUAGUAAGGAGAUCUUGUAAAGCCGCAGACUAAGUGGUGCCACCUUCUGCUGCUCCAGAAGAGGAGGAAAGUUGCGACUUCUUUUAUUCUUCGAACAAGUGAAUGCUUAUGACAUAAUAUGUCGACACCUUGGUCUCCUCUCAUGAACAUUAUUUUGUUCUUUAAUCUUAUCUAGGGGCCCAGAUGGUGCAGAUUAUUGAACUUUAUUGAAGCUCAUAAAAAGCGAGAUGGGGCUGGGAAGGAAUGCAUUUCAGGAAUCGAGUAGUUUCUGUACACACAUGAUUUGUCCUGAAGCUUGUUUAGUCGCAUGACAAAAGGAAGAUUUCAAUUGUUACUCGAGUUGCAGGAGAUAUAUGUUAUUUUUAACUGGGAAAUUGGUAGAUGCAAGAAUUAAACAUGCACUAUCGAAACAUUGAAUACAAAAGGUUUUCUGAAA
rnacentral:lncRNA from 1 species